CCUACGGGUGGCAGCAGUAGGGAAUAUUGCUCAAUGGGGGAAACCCUGAAGCAGCAACGCCGCGUGGAGGAUGAAGGUUUUCGGAUUGUAAACCCCUUUUGUUAGAGAAGAUAAUGACGGUACCUAACGAAUAAGCACCGUCUAAAUCCGUGCCAGCAGCCGCGGUAAUACGGAGGGUGCAAGCGUUACUCGGAAUCAUUGGGCGGAAAGAGCGCGUAGGCGGGUUAGCAAGUCAGAUGUGAAAUCCUAUGGCUUAACCAUAGAACUGCAUUUGAAACUGUUAGUCUAGAGUAUGGGAGAGGUAGGUGGAAUUCUUGGUGUAGGGGUGAAAUCCGUAGAGAUCAAGAGGAAUACUCAUUGCGAAGGCGACCUGCUAGAACAUAACUGACGCUGAUGCGCGAAAGCGUGGGGAGCAAACAGGAUUAGAUACCCUAGUAGUC
rnacentral:rRNA from 1 species